GGCUCUCUGCUUAUAUAAAUAUAGGGAGUCGAGCCUGCCCAGUGAAUUUUUAAACGGCCGCGGUACUCUGACCGUGCAAAGGUAGCAUAAUCAUUUGCCUUAUAAUUGAAGGCUAGUAUGAAUGGUUUGACGAGAACAAUACUGUCUCCUUUUUAUUUUCAAGAACUUAACUUUUAGGUGAAGAGGCCUAAAUUUUAUUGAAGGACAAGAAGACCCUAUCGAGCUUAAAAGACAUUAUAGAAGUUUAUAUAUUUUUAAAUAAAUUUUCUAUUAAGCUUUUUAGUUGGGGCGACUAAGGAACAAAAAAAGCUUCUUGCUGAUAAUAAGCAGUCAUGUUUAGAUCCGAUAAUAAUCGAUCAAAGAAAUUAGUUACCGUAGGGAUAACAGCAUAAUCUCUCUUGAGAGACCUAAUCGAAAGAGGGGGUUGUGACCUCGAUGUUGGACUAGAAUAUCCUAAAGAUGCAGAAGUCUUUGAGGGUCGGUCUGUUCGACCGUUAAAAUUCU
rnacentral:rRNA from 1 species